ACUAGGCAACUCACCCCCAGAUGUAUAAUUUAAUGGUGAUGUGCUUGCACUGGGAUCUUCAGGAUCUGCUCAAUAGAACAACAUCAUGUGAUACUGGGAUAAGGUGGAGUUCAGCUUUAAGGGGGUGUCUCCUGCUCUCCUCACCCAUCUUUAGGAUCAGAGCUGGAGGAAUACCAGUGGAUGUUUUCCACAUCGCCUGGCUCCUUGUUCUCCAUCCACUCUUUUGCUCAAACCCUGACCAAAUCAAGGAACGGGGGGAAAUAAGAUCAGUUACAAGAUUGUACAAGGUUCUCAAGGAAACGAAGUGACAGCUUUUGGUGAGAUCCUGCUGCUUGAGUGAUGAGAACAUUUUGAGCUUCUGAAACCAUCCGGAAGAAACUCAGUGCAGUCGAGAUCAGUGCAGGGCAUGGACGCAAGUUUCAACAAUAUGAACACAUCAUUUCUUUCCUCUGCUGGGAAUCAGUCUAUCCAUCUGAACUUUUCAGAGAAGAAUUCCAGAAUCAUACACUUCCAAGAUGAAGAUUGCCACAUGCCAUUGGCCAUGGUCUUCACCUUGGCUCUGGUUUAUGGGGCUGUGUUCAUUCUUGGCAUCUCUGGAAAUCUGGCCUUAAUUAUCAUCAUCUUAAAACAGAAGGAGAUGCGCAAUGUUACCAACAUCCUUAUUGUCAACCUUUCCUUCUCAGACCUUCUAAUGACCAUCAUGUGUCUCCCCUUCACCUUUGUAUACACUUUAAUGGACCACUGGAUUUUCGGGGAGGCCAUGUGCAAGCUGAAUCCUUUUGUGCAGUGUGUCUCAAUCACAGUCUCGGUUUUCUCUUUGGUCCUCAUCGCGAUUGAACGCCAUCAGCUGAUCAUCAACCCUCGAGGAUGGAGGCCGAAUAACAGACAUGCUUACCUAGGGGUUGCUGUCAUCUGGAUUCUAGCCGUGGCUUCCUCCUUGCCUUUCCUUGUUUAUCAUGUAUUAACUGAUGAACCCUUCAAAAAUAUAACAAUCGAUGAAUAUAAGGACAAAUACGUGUGCUUGGACUUGUUCCCUUUGGACACUAUCAGGCUUUCUUAUACCACAGCUCUGUUGGUGAUACAGUACUUUGGACCACUUUGUUUUAUAUUUAUUUGCUACUUAAAGAUAUACAUACGCUUAAAACGAAGGAACAACAUGAUGGACAAGAUGCGAGACAAUAAAUACAGAUCCACUGAAACCAAAAGGAUCAACAUCAUGCUGAUCUCUAUUGUGGUUGCAUUUUCAGUCUGCUGGCUACCUCUUACCAUUUUUAAUAUUGUAUUUGACUGGAAUCAUGAAAUUCUACCGGUUGCCACCUGCAGCCACAAUGUAUUGUUCUUGAUUUGUCACCUCACAGCCAUGAUCUCUACCUGUGUGAACCCUAUCUUUUAUGGAUUCCUCAACAAGAACUUCCAGAGGGACUUGCAGUUUUUAUUUCAUUUUUGUGAUUUUCGCUCCAGGGAUGAUGAUUAUGAGACUAUAGCCAUGUCCACCAUGCAAACAGAUAUUUCAAAGACCUCUUUGAAGCAAGCAAGCCCAGUAGCAUUUAAAAAAAUAAAUAAUGAUUAUGAUGAAAAAAUAUAACCCCCCCACAUCCAACCCAAAGUGUUGUCAGUGUGGUCACAGGUGAUAUGGGCAAAGGAAAAGCACAAACUUGUAACAAAAUGGAUUUCCUUCUCUGUACUGCUACUUCCCUCAUCCUGUACCAGCCAAGUUCCCUUGUAUGAGAGCCAUUCAUCCAAGAACUCCAUGAAGUGACAUGGUGGGACAUACGCUGAAGAUGCCAUGGAAGAUGAAUAUCAGCUAAUUCCAGUUCAGGAUGUAUGAUCAGCUUCUAGUAAAAAUGAUCAAUUUCUAUAUAAAAUGUCAACAUUUUAAGUAAAAUAAAUUACCCUCCCACAACUAACUUGCCAUUCCACCUCUUGUUCUAACAUCAGUUUUUUUUAAAAAGAAGAAAAUUCUUGAUAAAUAUUGACUCUGUUUAUAACCAGGGUUUUUACUAGGAAUGAAUUCUACCAGCAAAGUCUGGAUCUUGACCUGUAUCUAGGCCCCAAUACAGCAAAACAUUUGGGCACAUGCUUUAAAUCCAGCCCUAUUCAGUAAGGCCCUGAUUCAGCAAAUCGCUCUAACUGAGGUCAAUGGGACUUAAGCACAUGCUUAAAGUUAAAGAUUUUCUUAACUGCUUUGCUGAAUAGGAAUGGACUACUGAAUCAGGGCCCCAGAUCUGUCCCAAAUAUCAUAAGGAUUUGCUUCUUGGGUUUAGUUUCAGCCUUUUAUACAGGUAAGUUCAAGUCAUAAAGUUUGGAUCUAGAGUUGGAUCUGGAGUCCAAAGCCUGAGGAUGUUUUGAUCCAUGGCUUUUCUUCAGGUCCUUUUCUAGUUCUUAGCAGCAGAGACUCUAACCAGUUGGUUUGCAGUGAAUGGAAGAAAUAAGAAAUAUGGAUUUUACUUUCUUAUUUUUACAGCAUAUAUAACAGUACAAAAUGUGCUCUCAGAUAACACCUCUGAUUUAUUCAGUUGAAAGGAAUUUGGCUGGAUGGAGGGGGUGUAGAGGGAGGAGAUGCUAAAUUAUACUCAAAUGAUAAGUUGCAUUGACAGUCUUUUUCUCGGCUAAAGGAUAUAGAUCAAAAUCAUGACCGAUCUACCAUGUUCUUUUCAUGUCUAAAUUAUUUGAUAUUCAGUAUUUGCCUCUCAAAAGUAAAAAGACAAGUACCCGAGUCAUUACCAGUGUGUGUUUGAAAGGAAGAUAUGUUCUUUUUUGCAUAAGUUUUACUGAAGUCCAAAUGUUUUGGGAUGUCAUGUAAUUUAAGAAAGGAAAAAACUAUAACCAACUCACAUCUUUUAUGCUCUAAUUUGCCUGUUGCUGAUGCUGAUACAUAUUAAAUGACAUUUUUGUUAAAAAAUAGCACUAGUGGUCUUAUGUAAGCUAAAAAAUUAAAGAAGGUACAGGGUUAAGGCUGUCAAUAUGUUGCACUUAAGUUCUGUUCUGGGAAGGGAUGCUUUCCUGAAUGGGCCUUAUACUGUGUUAUGUGUUUGUAAACCCAGGCAUGGCAGGAUCAGUUCAGCACAGAGAAUUCCUGUUUAUCACAACAAAUUGUACUCCACAGUUCACCCUUUAUUUUCCAUGUGAAUAUCAGGCUAUGGGCCGAUUUCCCAGAUCCACACUGCCCUCAGAAAUGUAUGCCAGAUAUGUCUGUUUCAGAUUGUUGCAUGGAUGUAACUUAUGCUGAAAUCUCCAAUGUCCAGUCAAUCUACUACUAAUUUUGGAGAUCUUCAAACAAGAACAGGUAUAUCAGAUAUAACAUACAUUUUGAAAGACAGAAAAAAGAAAAACAGCAGAACAACAGUUAAUCAUUAAUUAUUGCAUUUUUUGAAAUAUGUAUAUGAAGAUUUGAGGGCAGAAUCAAGCACUAAUUGAGGCCAACAAGCUGUCAUAUAAAUGGUUGGCAGGGCAUUGGAAAGCAUGCCCAAGCAGUGACCUCUAACAAUUAAAUUUCUCUGUUACACCAUUUAAAAAAAAAAGAGAGAUCCUCACAACGGCCAGGCAAGACAACUGAUAACCUGUUAUGACUUUCCAUCUCAGGUUUACCUGGAUCUCAUUACCAAGGCCAAGCAAAAAAAACAUUUUGGCAUUAGCAGAAAAGUAUAUUCUACAGUGCAGCCAUUGACACUGGCAAAACAUUGAGUUCAGUUUCUUUCACUUCUACAGGGUGAGGGCAAACUAUUUUAUGGCAGGAGCAGAGCCCUGGCCACCUUAAAUCUCCCUUGUUCUUAUUCUCACUGAUGCGGUGUAGCUCUUUUUUACUUUUAUUGUUGAUGUCUGUGAAAAGCUGUUUCUUGGAGGAGCCUCAGGUUUCUAUGUUGAGUAUUUCUUAUGCCACAAGUGUUUCAAUAUAUUGACCAUGAGGAUGGUUGUUUCUGUGGAAAUGCUGUUGGGGUUUUGAUGGCUGAUUCUCAUUUUGGAGACACAAUGUAUCUACUAACAUGUUCCCUUCUCUUCCUCGUUUUAUUUUAAGAUUCUUUACAUGUGGUCCUUUUGCUUUAUAAAUCUUUCACCUAAUGGAUAAGCUUGUAUACUUAUGUGGGGUAGAAAGGGGUAAUUUUAAAUUGUUGCAAGCCAAGUAGUUUUACUUUAAAAAAUACUAAAACUAUUUAGUCCAGAGAAACAAGAAAUGGUGGGCCAGCUCUUAGUAUGUGUUUCUCUGACUGCCAAACCAGGAAAACCAAAAUAAAAAGAUGAAAUAAUUAAUAAAGGUUAUUUAUAAAACUAUCUCAGGGAUGUGAGUCCCACUACUUUAGUCACAGAAGUUCUUUUGCAUACCUUAGGGGAUGUCAUGAUAUACAACAUAACCACACUUAUUAACCAUGCUAUUUAUUAUUAAAGAAAGGAAAAGAAACCAUUAAACAAUACAAAACAAAUUACAGAACACAACUGAUAAACUGGUUACUUCUCUUACAAUCUCUUCUAUAGGCUUCUUUGUAGAGAACUUUUAAAAGAGAUUUCACAUUUAAAAGUUAAAUCAGGAUGUACUUCAUUUGGUAAAUUAAGACCAAAGUAUAUUGUUUCCUAAAGUUAUUGUCAACUUACUCUUAGUUUCUAACUAGAUACUUAAAAUUGUUUAUGUAUGGACAAAAUAAUGUGUUUAAGGGCAGGUGAUACCUUUCUCAUUGUUAUUAAUAA